UCCAUUCGCUUUUUUUUACUCGGUCCGAUAAUCGGUCAGCAUAGUACCGUUGAGCUACAUGCAGAUCAUGAACGUAAGCGGCUUCUGAAUCACGAAAUUCCUCCAGAACAGAAAUAAUGGCUUUUUGUUUACUCCUCAUAGCAAUCGUCGAUUCUGUGGUAGUGCUACAACUAGUUCUUGUCGACCUUGUUUCAGUUUCAUGUUGACUUAACGCUAUGGUCCAGUCAGGCCGUAAUUUCAAAGUAUCUUCUAAAGUGUGUGUCGAAUUGGCUAUAGGCAAGCUAUCUGAAACAACUCUUUUUCCACGGCUUUGGAACAUCCUUGGGUUACUCAUCUUUAAUCGGCUGUUGAUUCAAUGAGUUAUCUACUCAAACGCGGGCACUUAGGAGUUCGUAGCGCGUUUGAUUAGAUCUCACAAAGCUAAAACAGAGUAGCAAGGCCGUUGAUGAGUCGAUUUCUUCUUUAAAUACAAUGCUAAUUUAAUCCAAAGAGUAACGCUUUUAUCAAUGAAAUAGUUGAAUAGCUGUUUUCUUUGUUGUUGCGGACGGCAAGAAUAACCAGGUUACCUUAGUGGAUAUAGGAAAGAAUUCCGCUUUUGAAAGAAUGACUACAAUG